rnacentral:rRNA from 1 species
CCUACGGGGGGCUGCAGUGGGGAAUAUUGCACAAUGGGCGCAAGCCUGAUGCAGCCAUGCCGCGUGUGUGAAGAAGGCCUUCGGGUUGUAAAGCACUUUCAGCGGGGAGGAAGGCGGUGAGGUUAAUAACCUUCGCGAUUGACGUUACCCGCAGAAGAAGCACCGGCUAACUCCGUGCCAGCAGCCGCGGUAAUACGGAGGGUGCAAGCGUUAAUCGGAAUUACUGGGCGUAAAGCGCACGCAGGCGGUCUGUCAAGUCGGAUGUGAAAUCCCCGGGCUCAACCUGGGAACUGCAUUCGAAACUGGCAGGCUAGAGUCUUGUAGAGGGGGGUAGAAUUCCAGGUGUAGCGGUGAAAUGCGUAGAGAUCUGGAGGAAUACCGGUGGCGAAGGCGGCCCCCUGGACAAAGACUGACGCUCAGGUGCGAAAGCGUGGGGAGCAAACAGGAUUAGAUACCCGAGUAGUC